UAGGGAAUCUUCGGCAAUGGACGAAAGUCUGACCGAGCAACGCCGCGUGAGUGAAGAAGGGUUUCGGAUCGUAAAACUCUGUUGGUAGAGAAGAACGUUGGUGAGAGUGGAAAGCUCAUCAAGUGACGGUAACUACCCAGAAAGGGACGGCUAACUACGUGCCGG
rnacentral:rRNA from 1 species